UUAUGGUGCCAGAAUAGUGUACAGUAAAACAAUCAUUUGAGUCAUAUGAGUCAUUUGGCAUCCCUAGGAAGCAAGCUUCUGACAUGAGAGACAUUGUUGGAUGGAAGCUAACAUAUUUGAAAGGAAAGAGCAGUGGAGCAUCUGGAAAGAAAAAUGGUUCUCGGAAGACAAGGGUAUCAACCUCAUUUUUCCCAUAGAUCUUUCCAUGAGUGACUUUAUUGGAAGAAAAAUCUUCACAGAAGUAAUGCAUUAAAAUGAGGCCAUACUGGACUAGCAUGGGCCCUAAAUCCAACAACUGGUGUUCCUGUGGAAAGAGGAGAGGACACACAGAGGCACAGGAAAGAAG